AAUUCGAAGCAACGCGAAGAACCUUACCAGGUCUUGACAUCCCCUGACAACCAAGAGAUUGGGCGUUCCCCCUUCGGGGGGACAGGGUGACAGGUGGUGCAUGGUUGUCGUCAGCUCGUGUCGUGAGAUGUUGGGUUAAGUCCCGCAACGAGCGCAACCCUCGCCUCUAGUUGCCAGCAUUCGGUUGGGCACUCUAGAGGGACUGCCGGCGACAAGUCGGAGGAAGGUGGGGAUGACGUCAAAUCAUCAUGCCCCUUAUGACCUGGGCUACACACGUGCUACAAUGGGCGGUACAAUGGGUAGCCAAGCCGCGAGGCGGAGCCAAUCCUGAAAGCAGGCCUCAGUUCAGAUUGCAGUCUGCAACUCGACUGCAUGAAGCCGGAGUUGCUAGUAACCGCAGGUCAGCAAUACUGCGGUGAAUACGUUCCCGGGUCUU
rnacentral:rRNA from 1 species